UGGAACAAUGUAGGCAAGGGAAGUUGGCAAAAUAGAUUUGUAACCUAGGAAAAAGUUUUGGUUUUGAGGGUUGGGCACAAGGGUUCCAAUCAUGAACCCGUAAGCUAUCGGUGGAUUGCUUAAGCUACUCCCGCAGGCCAUCGCGUGCCUACCAGGGGACUGACUGGGAGCAUUCCUUUGGGGACUUUCCCCAGGCGUCGAACAGCCACCUCAAAACUGGUACGGAUAAUGCUAACGCAAUGUGAUUUUUGCCUAGCGCUCUGGAUGUCAAAGUGAAGAAUUUCAAACAAGUGAGGAUAAACGACAGAAGUAACUAUGACUCUCUUAAGGUAGCCAAAUGCCUCGUCAUCUAAUUAGUGACACUUAUGAAUGGAUUAACGAGAUUCCCACUGUCCUUGUCUACUAUCCA
rnacentral:ncRNA from 2 species